CAUAAACACAUAUAGGCUAAUAAACCAGUAUAUAAACAGGUUAAAAGGUGAAAAAAAAGGUUGAAGAUUAAAGCAUUCCUGCAGAUCCAACAUUUCUGAGAAAACCAGCAAAAAUCAGGGGAUUAAGAAGAUGAUCACAAUUUUGAUCACAGAAAUCAGAUUAUGAGAAUUUCAAAAAUCUGUGAACAUAACUUUGUAAAGAAAUCAAUGCAGGAUGACCAGGAAUAAAA